rnacentral:rRNA from 1 species
CAGUCGCCGCGGUAAUACCGAGGGUGCAAGCGUUAAUCGGAUUUACUGGGCGUAAAGGGCGCGUAGGUGGUUAUGUAAGUGAGAUGUGAAAUCCCCGGGCUCAACCUGGGAACUGCAUCUUAUACUGCGUAGCUGGAGUGCAGUAGAGGGUAGUGGAAUUUCCGGUGUAGCGGUGAAAUGCGUAGAUAUCGGAAGGAACACCAGUGGCGAAGGCGGCUACCUGGACUGACACUGACACUGAGGCGCGAAAGCGUGGGGAGCAAACAGGAUUAGAUACCCCCGUAGUCCCUGUCUCUUAUAC